rnacentral:rRNA from 1 species
CGGCAACAGCUCAAAUUUGAAAUCUGGCCCUCGGGUCCGAAUUGGAAUUUGUAGAGGAUGCUUUUGGUGAGGUACCUUCCGAGUUCCCUGGAACGGGACGCCAUAGAGGGUGAGAAUCCCGU